UCAAAUUAAAGUUUAUAUCUCACAACUACCGGCCAUACUUGUAACAGGUAACAGGACACUUUAGCCUAAUACAAGUCAGGCUCAAAUCAUGGGCAUACAUGUACUGAUCCAAACUCAAACCAUGGGGGCCCAUCUUUAGACGGGGCAAGGCCUCAAAUUAAGAUUGUUUGGGAAAUUAUGCCAAAGUGCUUCAUUGUUGUAUGAAUCAUCAAGUAUCCAGUGCUAGAUGCUAAUAUCUUAGUUAUGCCAGAUUUGUAUACUUGAUGCAAGGAUCAGGCAGAACCUUGCUGCCAUGCAGCAGUUGGAACAUGAGCAUGGGGCCAUGUCUUCCUUUGAUUAUAGGCAAGUUUUUAUCAACUCAAUUUUUCACUUUUUCAUUGGUUUGUCUGGAGAUUCAGUUUUUGAACCUUGUUUC